GAAGCCCGUGCAGUAUCUGAAGUGUUUUAAUGAUCCAAAACUAACACACACAAGUUACAUCCACCGAUUUUCAGGCCAAAGUUUUCAUGCGUUCAGUGGAAGGCACUGUGGCAUGGUGGAAAAGGUAGAGGGCGAAGACUCAGAUCACCUGGUCUCCAUCAUCAUUUCUGCAUCUGGCUAUAUGAGGUGGGCUGAUGGCUGUGCCAGUUUCCUCAUUUGCACCGUGCACGAGGUCCCGCUUUGGGUGAGCUUUUCUCGCAUACAUGGUAAGCGGUGAUUGGCAGGACCCCGGAGCCCUCUUGGGCGUUAGGCUUGGGCUGCACUUGCACUGGGGGCCUACUGGGACUGUGGCGCCGUGACGAGAACGGCGGGUUGCGCGCGCAGCACCUCCGUCGCCUCCCGAUCCAGAGUCUCUGUUGCCGGGAAAACAGAGCGGCGCGCUUUCCGGCGCAGUCGCGGCGCGUCGCAGCUGUCAUGGCGGAGACCGUCUGGAGCACUGACACCGGGGAGGCAGUGUAUCGCUCCCGGGACCCCGUGCGCAACUUGCGCCUCCGGGUUCACCUGCAAAGAAUCACAUCAAGCAACUUUCUUCAUUAUCAGCCUGCUGCCGAGCUCUGGAAGGACCUCAUAGACUUGGCCACUUUUAGGCCUCAGCCAACUGCCAAGCAAGAAGUGGUGCUGGUUCGGCUCAAGCAUUUGACUCACUCUGUUGUCUUUGGAGGUGGACACCGCCCAGAGGAAGACGAAGAGGAGGAGAUUGUGAUUGGGUGGCAGGAGAAGCUCUUUAGCCAGUUUGAAGUAGAUCUGUACCAAAAUGAAGCAGCCUGUCAGAGUCCUUUGGAUUAUCAGUACCGUCAGGAGAUCCUGAAGCUGGAGAAUUCAGGUGGCAAGAAGAACCGACGAAUCUUUACCUACACUGACUCUGAUAGAUACACCAAUUUGGAGGAGCACUGUCAGAGAAUGACCACUGCAGCCAGCGAGGUGCCUUCAUUCUUGGUUGAGCGAAUGGCAAACGUCAGGCGGCGCCGGCAGGACAGACGAGGGAUGGAGGGCGGCAUCCUCAAGUCACGCCUUGUCACCUGGGAGCCCUCAGAGGAGUUCGUCAGGAACAACCACGUCAUUAACACCCCUCUUCAGACAAUGCACAUCAUGGCAGACCUGGGGCCCUAUAAAAAGCUUGGCUAUAAGAAGUAUGAACACGUCCUGUGUACUCUGAAGGUGGAUAGCAAUGGUGUGAUCACAGUAAAGCCUGAUUUCACGGGCCUCAAAGGACCCUACAGGAUCGAGACGGAGGGAGAGAAGCAGGAGCUGUGGAAAUAUACGAUCGACAAUGUUUCCCCCCUCGCACAGCCAGAGGAGGAGGAGCGGGAACGGCGUGUGUUCAAGGAUCUUUAUGGCCGGCACAAGGAGUAUCUCAGCAGCCUCGUAGGCACUGACUUUGAGAUGACUGUCCCAGGUGCCCUCCGGCUCUUUGUAAAUGGAGAGGUAGUUUCAGCCCAAGGCUAUGAGUAUGACAAUCUCUACGUCCACUUCUUUGUGGAAUUGCCAACUACUUACUGGUCAAGCCCAGCAUUCCAGCAGCUCUCAGGAGUAACACAGACAUGCACCACCAAGUCCCUGGGAGUGGACAAGGUGGCUCACUUCUCCUACCCAUUCACAUUUGAAGCCUUCUUCCUCCAUGAGGAUGAAUCUUCUGAUGCACUCCCGGAGUGGCCUGUGCUCUACUGUGAGGUCCUCUCGCUGGACUUCUGGCAGAGGUACCGUGUGGAAGGCUAUGGGGCUGUGGUGCUGCCUGCCACUCCAGGUAACCGCUUGUCCCCGCCCUUCCGUGGCUCACAUGCCCUAGGCCCUACGAGCAAGACUAACACUCGAAUGCUUCUGGUGAGGGGUGGGGAUAGCUGGGAAUUAGAAGCAUUUGGCUUGAAAGAGUUCCUGUUCCUCUGAGGACUAUCUGCCCCACUCCACUAGAGACAAUAGCGUGGCCUUGGCGCUGACUUCCCGACAGUCUUGCCAUGUGCUUCGUGCUCCUCUGAUUGGACUCAGGGUGAGAAGCUGUAUGGCAAAAUCAGCUCAUAGCAUGUGUGUAUGGAAUGAAGCAGCAUUCAGUUUGGAAUAAAAGCAUCUGUCUUCUACUGUGUGCUAGGCAUUGUGCCAUACUUCUCACUUAAUUCUCCCAGCCACUCUGUGCGGUGCAGGUGGUAUUAUUUCCAUUUUACUAGAUGAGGAGAAUGAACUUCAGGGAGGUUAAGAAACCUGUCCUGGGUAUGCAGGGAAUAACUGGCAGAGCAGAAAUUUGAAUUUCUCCCUGAUUGACUUCCAAACAGGUGCUAUGGGUAACCAUGACAACCUUCACCAGAGGCCAGGUCAUCACCAGACCAGGUGUUUUAGCGAAGUCUAGGCCUGUGUCAUUGCUGGGGAGUCAGUGAGGGGCCACAUGCCCUUUCUGGACCCGGCCCCAGUCUCCUCUUCCCUUACGCAGGCUCACACACCCUGACAGUCUCCACAUGGAGACCUGUGGAGCUUGGCAUGGUGGCUGAGCUCAGGAGGUUUUUCAUUGGCGGUUCUCUGGAACUGGAGGACCUCUCCUAUGUGCGGAUACCAGGAUCCUUCAAGGGGGAACGCCUGAGCCGCUUUGGACUCCGCACAGAGACCACAGGCACCGUCACCUUCCGCUUGCACUGUCUGCAGCAGUCCAGGGCCUUCAUGGAAUCAAGCUCCCUUCGGAAAAGGAUGCGGAGUGUGUUGGACCGUCUGGAAGGGUUCAGCCAGCAGAGUUCCAUUCACAAUGUGCUGGAGGCCUUCCGUCGAGCCCGGCGCCGCAUGCAGGAGGCCCGGGAAAGCCUCCCGCAGGACCUAGUGAGCCCCUCUGGAACCCUGGUCUCCUAGCUCACAGCAGCCCUGGGCCACAGUGCAAGAGGACAAGAUGGGGGAUGUUUGAGGCCAGUGCUCUCCUGCCUCUUCGUCUGUCUGACUAGAGACCACGCUGGUCUGCUGGGAACCAGAAGAGCUGGGAAAUUCCCAGCUGGCCCCUCUGCCUAGCCUUCUGCAGGGUUUUCUCCCUACCCUGGGGAAAUAAAGCCAGAGACCCUGUGGCCCCCCCUUCAUGUUUGUAGUCACUGUAAAUGGGCAUCACAGCAAGGCAGGCUUUUUGGUCUGAAGCUGUUUGGGGUGACCCCAUAGUGAGUGUGGCCUUGACUCACUUUUCUGGCUUGUCUCACAGUAGCAGGGGGAUGCAGGGAUCUGCUGUUCUCCAGCCUUUAAAAAUGGAGCCUUCCUUCUUGCAAGACCAAAGAAGGAAGGAAGGAAGGUGGACGGUGAGAGGGGUCUUAAAUCCCCAGCCUGUGAGUCUCAGCCCCCUCUUUCCAGGGCAGCCUCAUUCUACUGCUUGGGGCUUGCUGAGGUUGAGAUAUGAGUUAUUUCUGAGUAGGUGAAGGUUGAAGGCAGUGCUGAGUCCUUUCUGCUAGCUGGUUGGUAUCUUUUACUGUGUUCUUUUUGUUUUUUGGGUUUUUUAAAUCCAUAAACCCCUUUUAUUUUGACUGA